CAGAGUAGCUAGGAUGCGUUAAGUGCCUUACCAUGGGAUGUCGGGUAGGGACGAACACUUUUGUGGCGGUAACCUAGCGCGUCCGCUGU
rnacentral:ncRNA from 1 species